CUUUGAAAAAAAAAAAAAAAAAAAAAAAAAUUGAAACCAAAAGGUUAAGAGGAGAACUUGUCUAUUACCAUAUAUCAAUAUAUAUAUAGAUAGAUUGGGUGGCUAGAGACAGCUUUCAAGUAUUCAUGGAAAAUUGUCUCAGAUGGAAAGUAGACAAGAGAGAAGGCUAAGGCUAGAAAAGAAAAAAAAAUGCUUUAGACCUCUCAGUAUUUGUUUAUUUUAUUAAUUCCUAGCGAUGGCAUGUCAUGUAUCCUUUCAUUAAACCAAAAAAAUAGUGCUAAAUAAAAAGGGCGAGUUCUAUUAACUGGUUAUCCUUUCAUAUUUUGUUCAUUUGGUUGCUAAUUUAUUGUACGAAAAUUCCACGGGUAAGUACAAUCAUAAAAAAAAAAA
rnacentral:lncRNA from 1 species